GUAGCUAACGCGUGAAGUNGACCGCCUGGGGAGUACGGUCGCCAAGAUUAAAACUCAAAGGAAUUGACGGGGACCCGCACAAGCGGUGGAUGAUGUGGAUUAAUUCGAUGCAACGCGAAAAACCUUACCUACCCUUGACAUGUACGGAACCCUGCUGAGAGGUGGGGGUGCCCGAAAGGGAGCCGUAACACAGGUGCUGCAUGGCUGUCGUCAGCUCGUGUCGUGAGAUGUUGGGUUAAGUCCCGCAACGAGCGCAACCCUUGUACCCUGGUUGCUACGCAAGAGCACUCCAGGGAGACUGCCGGUGACAAACCGGAGGAAGGUGGGGAUGACGUCAAGUCCUCAUGGCCCUUAUGGGUAGGGCUUCACACGUCAUACAAUGGUCGGAACAGAGGGUUGCCAAGCCGCCGAGGUGGAGCCAAUCCCAGAAAACCGAUCGUAGUCCGGAUCGCAGUCUGCAACUCGACUGCGUGAAGCUGGAAAUCGCUAGUAAUCGCGGAUCAGCAUG
rnacentral:rRNA from 1 species